rnacentral:tRNA from 1 species
GCAAGCAUAGUUUCAACCAAAACGCUAGAUUGUGAUUCUAGAAACAGAAGUUAAAACCUUCUUGCCUGCC